rnacentral:ncRNA from 1 species
UAAACACUGCCACCGGGUAGUCAUGCAACAGCAUUUUAUGAACAUCGUUAGGUCUUAGAAGAUGUUCAUAGGGUGCUGAUUUUUCU